GUGCCCUGAACUUUGUGCCCUGGGAACGGUGUCCUCCUUAAUGCAACCGUGCUUGACGGGAGGCGACCUGCUCUGAGGGCCAUGUCCUCACAAGGUGAGUUGUUGAAGACUGGCCUUGUCAUGAGUGAGCAGCAUCAGUGGAGCCGGGACUUGGUUGCUCUCUUCUGCUAAACUUUCUUGCCCUUCUGCUUCAGCGGUGGAUGAUACAUGCAUGAGAAAGCCCUGUUGACUGCAGGCCCUUUGCCCUUGGGCUCCCCAGAACUUGGAGCCCUCAUGCCAGCACAGUGUAAGAGGCAGAUGGAGGAAGGCAGCUGCUCACAUUUGCCGAGGAGAAGCCCGCCCUGUGGUUCGGAUGGCAUGAAGGAAGACCAAGGCAGCAAAAGCGCCCAAGCUGCAGGGCUGAAGCACAUUAGGAAGAGGACUCGGGCCCCAAGGAGCCCCUGGGCUAGUAUACAAGCUGCAGUGACCUCACGACAGUAGAAAGCUGCCUUAACCUUCGAGCCCCAAGUGUCCACGAUCAUCAUUCUGUCUCAGGAACUGUGCCUUUUCCUCAAAGUACAGUCUCCAUAAAAUACUAAAUGGAGCUGAGGAAACUCAGUUUCUUCCUUUCCCUUACUUUCAUCGUUCUUUCUUGUUUGGGCUCCUGCCUAGCAUCCAAUCCGUGUCUGUGCAUCCACAGUGUGUGUGAACCCUUGUGUCAGGUGCUACAUGCAGAGCACAUCAGACCCCACAGUACUCCAGUACCAAAGUCUCCAGCAAUCACCUUCCAAAGGCCAGUGCAGAGCAAGUUCCAGAAGGAGGCCCUCUAAACAAGGCCCCAGCAGGGAGCUUCACUCUCCGCUUUUUUGGGGGUUCUAAGAGAUGGCUGCAUACAACACAGGGAAAGCCAGAGGGAACCUUGGGAUAGCCGUGGUUCCUGCUCUUGGAGGGCUAAGGACAGACUCGACACGAAGAGAGGGCUCUCUCCCCUCUCCUCUCUGCACAGCAAUGUA